UGUUUACAGAUAUAAUUGUAAAUAUUGCCUGCUCCAUGGAAUUCUAAAUAGCAGCGUAAGCUCUAAGGUAGCAUAAUCAAUAGCCUCUUAAUUGGAGGAUCGUAUGAAAGGUAAGACGAAUGAGGUUAAAUUUUUAAUCUAAAUUUUUAAUUUAGCUGAUCAGUUAAAAUUCUGAUCUUUAAUUUAGGGACAAGAAGACCCUAUAAAGUUUGACUUUUUAGUCUUGUUUAUAAGAUAAAGAAGUUUUGUUGGGGCAAUACUGUAAGAGGGAAUCUUACUGAUGUAAAUUCUUACUAAAGUUUCUCUGAGCUGUUAUUAACACGAAUAGAAUCAAUUACUUUAGGGAUAACAGCAUAAUUAAGGCUUUUAAGUACAAAUUUACAGUCUUGAUUAUGACCUCGAUGUUGGAUUAAUCUACCCGAUGGUGUAGUCGCUAUCGUAGGGAGUCUGUUCGACUCUUAAGGAAUUACA
rnacentral:rRNA from 1 species